UACAGAGGGUGCGAGCGUUAAUCGGAAUUACUGGGCGUAAAGCGUGCGUAGACGGUUAUUUAAGUCGGGUGUGAAAGCCCCGGGCUCAACCUGGGAAUUGCAUUCGAGACUGAAUAGCUAGGGUACGGUAGAGGGAAGCGGAAUUUCCGGUGUAGCGGUGAAAUGCGUAGAUAUCGGAAGGAACAUCAGUGGCGAAAGCGGGCUUCCUGGACCAGUACCGACGUUCAUGCACGAAAGCGUGGGGAGCAACAGG
rnacentral:rRNA from 1 species